GAUGAACGCUGGCGGCGUGCCUAAUACAUGCAAGUCGAGCGAAUGGAUUAAGAGCUUGCUCUUAUGAAGUUAGCGGCGGACGGGUGAGUAACACGUGGGUAACCUGCCCAUAAGACUGGGAUAACUCCGGGAAACCGGGGCUAAUACCGGAUAACAUUUUGAACCGCAUGGUUCGAAAUUGAAAGGCGGCUUCGGCUGUCACUUAUGGAUGGACCCGCGUCGCAUUAGCUAGUUGGGGAGGUAACGGCUCACCAAGGCAACGAUGCGUAGCCGACCUGAGAGGGUGAUCGGCCACACUGGGGAUGAGACACGGCCCAGACUCCUACGGGAGGCAGCAGUAGGGAAUCUUCCGCAAUGGACGAAAGUCGGACGGAGCAACGCCGCGUGAGUGAUGAAGGCUUUCGGGUCGUAAAACUCUGUUGUUAGGGAAGAACAAGUGCUAGUUGAAUAAGCUGACACCUUGACGGUACCUAACCAGAAGGCCACGGCUAACUACGUGCCAGCCGCCGCGGUAA
rnacentral:rRNA from 1 species